rnacentral:rRNA from 1 species
GAUGAACGCUGGCGGCGUGCCUAAUACAUGCAAGUCGUGCGAACAGACGAGGAGCUUGCUCCUCUGACGUUAACGGCGGAAGGGAGAGUAACACGAGGAUCACCUACCUAUAAGACUGGGCUAACUUAGGGAAACCGGAGCUAAAACCGGAUAAUAUAUUGAACCGCAUGGUUCAAUAGUGAAAGCCGGUUUUGCUGUCACUUAUAGCUGGCUCCGCGCCGCAUUAGCUAGUUGGUAAGGUAACGGCUUACCAAGGCAACGAUGCGUAGCCGACCUGCGAGGGUGACCGCCCACACAGGGACUGAGAGACGGUCCAGACUCCGACGGGAGGCAGCAGUAGGGAAGCUACCGAGAUGGGCGGAAGCCUGACGGAGCAGCGCCGCGUGGAUGAUGAAGGGCUGCGGAUCGUAAAACGCUGUUAGGAGGGAAGAACAAAUGUGGAAGUAACGAUGCACUUCUUGACGGUACCUAAACAGAAAGCCACGGCUAACUACGUG